UGCCUCUGCCUCCCUCAUGCUAAAAAUACAGGUGGGCAUCUUUAUCCCCAGGUCCUGUUUGAUUUAGACCAAACUGUCCUCUUCCCUUCCCCUCACACACUGGAAACUGACAAUGAGGAGGAGGAAGAUUGAAAGGAUAACCAGAAAACGGCAGCUGAAUCCAAGCCCAGGCGCUCUGCUUCCUUUCCAUGCUGCUGUGCAACCGGGGAAGCAAGGCUCCAGCAAGUGCUUUCCAAAGCUCAUCUGAAAACAAGGGCAGCCUGGUGCUACAUCCGUAUCCAUCUGUCAUGACUGCUGUCGGAGGCAACUGGGACCUGGUGGAGGUUCUCCACACAUGCUGGCCUGGGGGAAAUUAGUCUUCGGGGACACUGAAGGCAGUUUCCUCUGUUCAAUGACUCCUUGGCAACCCACGUGACAGCUCUGGCGGCAACUCGCCUGCUCUCAACUCCCAUUCUUAGGUGCCCCUAAAAACUGUAAGGCCUAGGGUGAGGAGAGCCUCAGACUGCAGAUGUGAGGGAGGCUGGGAGGACUCUCCAGGGAGUCAUUGCCUACCCUUGUAAACUCUGAUAUGGUCCAGCUUUUCCAUUCCACAACUGAGGAGAAUUGGACCUGGGAAGAGAGGAACCCUUUUUCUGACCUAUUUGCAAACUUCUGUCGCUGAGCGAAACCUGCAGGUGAAACUGUCUCUGCGCAUCUCUUGGGCCGAGCCCUUCCUUCCUGGGGACACCUGGGCAACAGAUCCUUCCUCAUGAAACAAUGUCAGACCCAUGCUUUCAGGACGUGGGAAGCUUCAGGUCUCAUGAUUCCACAGAGAUAGUGUAUCUUCCUCCCUCAUCCAUGUGGGACCAGGGACCAAAGAAGGUUAGAUGCUUCAGCUUACUCUUAGACCCUUCAGCCCCCAACAAGCAUGGACAUGAUUAAAAUCACUUUUUCCUGUUCCACAAGCUCACAGUCUUCAGAUACAGGGGAGCCAGAGCCCUCAUACGCUGAAAUUAGACCCUGAAAAGUAGGUUACCUGACAAUGACUUGUAUCUAAGUGGAGUGUGAUGUGGCAGGAGCUAGGAAUGGGCUGUCAGGGCUGCGCCUCCUUCCCAACUUACUACUGUCUCUUAACCUCUGGGUUCCUCGCUGGGAUGAUAAUUCUCCCCAUCUCCCUCCCUCUGGUGGGCUGGUGGAAAGCAUAAUGAAUCAAGGCUUGAAGCCUGCUGAAGAGGCCAGACUCGCGAUGCCAUGUAAGUACACAGCAUCACCAGCCACCUCUCGAGUCUACACGGAGUUGAUUUAUUUACCUCCCGUGAAACAGACAACAAUCAUCAUAUUUACACUUCUCGCCGCAGCUUCCUGCCUUGUUCCGCAGCGCCCCUCCCUCCCCUCCCUCCCCAUUGCCGAGACUCCAUUAAGCAUGCUGCCUUGUCAGUGAAGACAACCCUCUCCCAGGCUCUCUCUGGCCUUCCAGCUCAAGACCUUCUGCCCCAACGACCUGUCGCCCCCAAAACCACUGCACACAGGGGGCUGCAGUCUCUCCACGGGGAGGAUGAGGAAAUGAAUUCCAUAAGUAAAAGGCUUCCUUGGAAAUCAGGUGCUGCUAGUAAUUAAGAAGCGAAGCAGAGGUGCGUGAAAG